rnacentral:rRNA from 1 species
UUGAGAGAGAGUUAAGAGGACGUGAAACCGGUGAGGUGGAAACGGAUAGAGUCGGCGUAUCUUUCAAGUAUUCAUUUGCAAUUUUAUCCUAUUGUGAUUUCUGAGCUCCAGAUUGGGACAGUUUUUACUUUAUUGUAAAAUUGUGAUGCAUUUGCUUGUUUGGUGCGUAGGGAUGUUUGAAAUAGAUUUGUGACCUCCGUUUUGAGGCCAGCUUGCUGGUACCCAAACGGUGUUAGCAUUUUUUAUUUUGGAUAUUUGAGUAUGGAUUACGGGUGUUUAUUGGUUCGAUCUGAGUGUAAGUUACGGUCGCAUGCGACACGUGCUUUGCAGUUAGUUCGGUCCAGUUAAUGCUCUCAUACUCUUUCCCUAUGUAAAAGCCGGUCAUCUAUCCGACCCGUCUUGAAACACGGACCAAGGAGUUUAUCGUGUGCGCAAGUUUUUGGGUGUUUAAAACCUAAAAGCGCAAUGAAAGUAAAUGUUCUCUUUUGAGACUGAUGUGCGAUAUUUUCCAUCAAGGAAGAUUGCAGCAUGGCCCCAUUCUAUCUGUUUACAGAAGGGUGGCGGAAGAGCGUACGCGGUGAGACCCGAAAGAUGGUGAACUAUUCCUGAGCAGGAUGAAGCCAGAGGAAACUCUGGUGGAAGUCCGAAGCGGUUCUGACGUGCAAAUCGAUCGUCUGACUUGGGUAUAGGGGCGAAAGACUAAUCGAACC